GGAGAGUUGUCCGAGUUGGCCGAAGGAGCACGCCUGGAACGCGUGUAGGCGCCAAAAGCGUCUCGAGGGUUCGAAUCCCUCACUCUCCG
rnacentral:tRNA from 1 species